AUUUAUUUAGUAUAAAUGUAUAUUUGACUUCCAAUCAAAAGGACUGAAAACAAAACUCAGAAUAAAUA
rnacentral:tRNA from 1 species